rnacentral:rRNA from 1 species
UCGAUUUGGAGUUUGUUGCCCUGAGUGAUGGGCUCCGAAGCUAACGCGAUAAAUCGACCGCCUGGGGAGUACGGCCGCAAGGUUAAAACUCAAAUGAAUUGACGGGGGCCCGCACAAGCGGUGGAGCAUGUGGUUUAAUUCGAUGCAACGCGAAGAACCUUACCUGGUCUUGACAUCCAUAGAAUUCUGCAGAGAUGUGGAAGUGCCUUCGGGAGCUAUGAGACAGGUGCUGCAUGGCUGUCGUCAGCUCGUGUUGUGAAAUGUUGGGUUAAGUCCCGCAACGAGCGCAACCCUUAUCCUUUGUUGCCAGCGAUUAGGUCGGGAACUCAAAGGAGACUACCGUUGAUAAAGCGGAGGAAGGUGGGGACGACGUCAAGUCAUCAUGGCCCUUACGACCAGGGCUACACACGUGCUACAAUGGCGUAUACAAAGGGAGGCGACCUCGCGAGAGCAAGCGGACCUCAUAAAGUACGUCUAAGUCCGGAUUGGAGUCUGCAACUCGACUCCAUGAAGUCGGAAUCGCUAGUAAUCGUGAAUCAGAAUGUCACGGUGAAUACGUUCCCGGGCCU